rnacentral:rRNA from 1 species
GGAUUAGGCAUGCAAGUCGUGCGCGAUUUUACGGAUUGAGACUUCGGUCGAUUGAAGUAAAUGAAAGCGGCGAAAGGGAGAGUAACGCGUGGAUAUCUGCCCUUGGCUCCAGGAUAGCUACGGGAAACUGUAGGUAAUACUGGAUAAUAUCUCCGGAUCAAAGGUGUGAUUCCGGCCGAGGAUGAGUCCGCGUCCUAUUAGGUAGUUGGCGGGGUAAAGGCCCACCAAGCCGAAGAUGGGUACCGGGUGUGAGAGCAUGGCCCGGCUCACUGGGACUGAGACACUGCCCAGACGUCUACGGAUGGCUGCAGUCGAGAAUCUUCCGCAAUGGGCGAAAGCCUGACGGAGCGACGCCGCGUGCGGGAUGAAGGCCUUCGGGUUGUAAACCGCUGUCAGUUGGGAGGAAGUGCUAUGGGGUUCUCUCCAUAGCUUGACCGAUCUUCAGAGGAAGUACGGGCUAAGUACGUGCCAGCAGCCGCGGUAAUACGUACCGUACGAACGUUAUUCGGAAUUACUGGGCUUAAAGAGUCCGUAGGCGGCUUUAAAGGUGAGGUGUGAAAUCCCACGGCUUAACCGUGGAAUUGCGCUUCAAACCAUAAGGCUUGAGGGAGAUAGAGGAAAGCGGAACUGAUGGUGGAGCGGUGAAAUGCGUUGAUAUCAUCAGGAACACCGGUGGCGAAAGCGGCUUUCUGGGUCUCU